rnacentral:lncRNA from 1 species
UAGAAUUUUGUAUUCGACCACACUGCCAGAUUAUGAAGUGUCAUAAUACAAGUAUCUGAUUUACCAUCAAUGCACAAUAUGUUGACGGUGUGUCUGUGUGGCUUUCCUUUCCAGUUGACAGCAUUGUUUUUCCAAACGAAACAGUUGCCCAGCUGACUUGAGAAAUAUUUCAACGAAAACUCGUUUGUCCUCUGAAAAAAAAUAGAAUCAUUCAGAAAAAUGUACCAUUUUGGCUCUGCAACAGACAGGAUCAACAAGCAUAUAGCUGGCAUUACAGACCUUCGGAUAACCGACAUCUCAUAUCAAGCACUAGGACUGGGCAAUGACUCUUCCAGCCAAAGCACACACAGGUUAGUCACU